rnacentral:tRNA from 1 species
GUUCAAAUAGUUUAUAAAGAAUUAUAGUUUGUGGUAUUAUAGGAGUAAAAUAUUUUUUAUUUUGAACU